CUUACUGCAGUACAGUGCUUUGUAUUCCUGUAAUGUUGUUUUGCAUUGAACACGCCUUACUGUGGUCCCAGAAAUGCUGCAUUUUUAGUUUGGACUCUCUCUCCCUGACAAGGGCGAGCUUACUCUGUUUUUGCAGGAGGUAUCACUGCCUACCAGGCUGUCCCCUGGAAUGAAUUCUACAUGCAGGGACGUCCAUUCUCCAAUCAGCUUUGCACUCGAAUGCAGUUUUCCAGCACUGCAGCAGGACGUUACUCCACAGAGCAGGCUCCCUAUAUUCAGAACCCUGGUAUGAUGCAGCCCACUCCCUGUUUCCUCCAGCUGCCCAAAGGGACAACAUCAGGAUCUGUGGUAUUUACUGAAAAACAAAGGGCAAUGCCAGCACCAGACCAGACUUCAUAUCAGAACCACCAAUUGCAGAUUGCACCAGCUGAAAGAGAGGACCCAGAGAGCAGCAGCAGCAGUGUCACCAAGGAGGAGGAACGUGCUGCUGAUGACAAAGAAGAGAAUACGAAUUGACUUUGCACUUUGAAAUAAACAAGCAGGAAAGGAUGUUGUUGUUAUUAUUAUUAUUAUUAUUAUUAUUAAUAAACACUGCACUAUGAGAGAAACAGAGGAAAGAAGAAUUAAUAUUAUUUGCAAUGGAAGUACUUUUUUGUUUUUUUUAUUGUUGCCAUGAUUGUUCUCCUGCUGAGGAAAGAAGCAGUGAAGUUUCAAUCAAUAAAAGCUUCUGGUCUCUGCUUUUUGCAAAUCUCCUGACUUUUGAGUUUUACUAAGAAAGAUGAUCUUGGUUAUCCUAAAGAAGGUAACAAGGACUCAGUAGACAGGGGUGACUGGAAACCAGGAUCCAUUGGUUACAGAUGGCGCAGAAAGGAGAGUCCUUUGGCUGGAGUAACUAAAGCUUAGGGAGCUGUAGAACGUGAGGAGAGGGCUCCAUUGGGUACCCAGAAUUCAGAAGAUACUGGAAGAUGACUCCAGAGUGGGUAAGAUUCUGGGGAUACAGAUGGGGUAAGGUGGGUUGCAGACCACACAGAAAGGGAGCCCCAGGGAGAAGCUAGUAUAAACAGUGCAGAUAGAGGAACUCCAUGGGUUUAACCCAAUUUCACAGGGUCAACAGAGCAGGAGGGAGAAUGGGGAGCCCAGUGCUAUCCUUAUGGUGUUUGUUUAUAGCAACAUUUAGAAUUUUUAGAAAAUAAAUUAUUGUUGUAACCUGAUGCCCCUCCAUUCAUAAUUCAUUUAACAUUCCCACGGACUUAGUUUGAUGUGGCUUUGAAUGUCUGUUACUAAACCAAACUAAUCAGGGUUAGCAAUGAAGGAUGGGGGGAUUUAAAUAUGCCCGUCUCUGCCUGCACACAAUCCCUGACUGUGACCCAUCAGUUUUUGAGGAAGAAUAACUUUGAUAAAAGGGGAUAGUGGAAGAUGAUGGGGAAAGUCUAAACUGGUAUGUCUUGCAUUUACAUCUAUAUGCUGUCAGGCUCUGUCUCAGUUUAAUCUCUAGUAAAAUAUUCCAUAGCCAGGGUCCUAUUGCUGUCCUUGCUUUUCCCCUAGAACCUGUGAAUCUUGUUCUGGAAAUGUCUACCUGCAUCAUCCCUAUGGAAUAUAGUGGUUUUAGUGAGUUGCAGGUUAUUAUCUUCUGAGAUACCUGGCUAGGGUGGGGCAAAGCACUGUGCAAAUUCAGACUAGGGCCUUGAAUUCAGUCCUAAAAUGGAUAAGGAGACAUUGGAGGUCAUGGAGGACUGAUACAAUGGGUUAAGUUAUGCUCAGUAACGAAUGGGCAGCUGUAUGCUAUAUGAGUUGCGGUUUCUAUGUGAAGUUUUAUCUUCAGCUGCAGAUGUGUGCUGUAGUCUAGCCUGGAGGUGACAAAGGUGUGUAUCACAGUGCUAAGGUCCUUGUGAAAAAGGAGUGUGUUGUCCUAACAAGCUGAAGAUGGCAGAGGAAUGUUCUUUCCCACUGGUACAAUGUGUGUGUCCAGGAGCAACAAGGAGUUUGACCCUGAGGCUUUAUAUUAGACUGAUGGUCUCAAUCAAGGGUGAGGCCCAUGUUUUGUAAAGUGGCCUAAUACAUAUGCUGAAGAGGCUGGAUUACUAUAUUGAACCUUGUGGGAUUUCACAUUGUUACAGUUCUUGGUUAGAACUCUGUGGACUCUCUGAAAGGAAUGUUUGGCCCUUCUUCUGUCUCCUAUAUAUCAUUCAUUAUCUGUUUAUGGCUGACGGUACUGAAAGCUGCUGGAAGAUCAAGCCAUGUAAUCAGGGAUCCUACGUAUUUCAUGAAUCUCGAGCAACAGAAUUUACCAGUGUUCUACAGCAGACUCUUACGUAUUCAUUCUAAAGAGCAAAAAUGUCUAGCCUCUCUGAGUAUGAAGAAAAAGAGAACCAAGUGUAAACUAAUUCAGUGGUCAGCAGACAGCCUAAAUCAAUAACUCUGGGAGAUUGUGAAUGAUAGCUUUUCACCAUGUAAAUGUUAGCUCUGAAGCCUUGUGCUGACAAUGACAGAAGUAAUCUUUUUAGACCGGUGCUGUUUUUGGAUCCCGGUUGGACUGAUGGACAGAGUUGUAGGACUAAGGCCUGCCAGAAAGCCAAACAGAACCAACAACAGAAAACCGUGUCCUAUCUGCCUCUACUCUAAAGAAAUUUAGUUAUUUUUGUAUGGUAAACAUUUUAUUUGUUGUGUUUUGGAUGUUAUAUUUCUGGUAUUACAAAGUCCUUGCACACAUACCCUGUCACUGUGACAUUCCUAGUGAAACCGUGAUUUAGGGAGUUAGACUCAGAAGACUUAAUAUGUGACCUUUCUCACAAAGAUUUGUCAUUAAAUUAUGCAAGUCAGUUUCUAGAACAAAAAAGGGCAUUUCUUCAAAAUUUUGACCGAAAUUUGGCAAUCCUCAGAAUGAUUUGGAUGAAAGUCUAUUGCAUUUACUUUUAUGUUCAUAUCCUAAAUUAGCCAAGUUUCACUUGGUUGCACAUUUUCAGAUAAAAAAAUUUCCACAUACCUAAUCACAAAUAGGUGUGAUGUUCGUGCAUCUGGAGGUGAGUGUGUACCCUAAACAGUAUGUAGAGGGCUCAAUUCCUCCCUAGUGCAGCUCCACUGACUUUCUUUGAGUUAAACCCAGGGUGGUCUAGCCUACUAUGUGUACAAUAUAACUUCACUGAGAUCUUAAAAUCCCAUCACUUUCCACUGUAAUUCCAUAUAUCUACCUUCUCCAAGAUUUGUUCUAAGAAGUCACUAGACUAGAAUUCAGUACAUAAAAUGUGGGGUUAACAGCAUAGUACUGAGGUCAUUUUCAAAGAAAAUGGUUUUACCAGCCUGGAUUUAUUUAAUGGCAAAUGUUAUUGGUUUAAACUCCCUGUGUUCUGCUUACAGACUUUCAUCUAGGAUACAGAAAGUCAAGCUGAAUGCUCAGAUUUGUUCACUUCUGUUUAAGAUGACAGGGCCAUAGUCAGAAUCCCUUAUCUUAUUGAAGGCCUGUGUUUCCUCAGCCGGUAUUAGACAUAGACAGGAAUUGGCCUGCUUCUGUUUGAUUAACAUAUCCUGU